AACGAACGCUGGCGGCAGGCCUAACACAUGCAAGUCGAGCGAGGACUUCGGUUCUAGCGGCGGACGGGUGAGUAACGCGUGGGAAUGUGCCCUUCUCUACGGAAUAGCCCUGGGAAACUGGGAGUAAUACCGUAUACGCCCUAUUGGGGAAAGAUUUAUCGGAGAAGGAUCAGCCCGCGUUGGAUUAGGUAGUUGGUGGGGUAAUGGCCUACCAAGCCGACGAUCCAUAGCUGGUUUGAGAGGAUGAUCAGCCACACUGGGACUGAGACACGGCCCAGACUCCUACGGGAGGCAGCAGUGGGGAAUCUUAGACAAUGGGGGCAACCCUGAUCUAGCCAUGCCGCGUGAGUGAUGAAGGCCUUAGGGUUGUAAAGCUCUUUCAGCUGGGAAGACAAUGACGGUACCAGCAGAAGAAGCCCCGGCUAACUCCGUG
rnacentral:rRNA from 1 species